GAGGUGGGUUCUUCUCUCAUUCUCUUUAGAUUUUCUCAUCUAAAUUCUUAUAUUUUUUAGGAUUGAUCCCUUUUUCUUCCUCUCCUCCAUGGUUGCUUGCAUCUUGGAGCUUAGAGGUGAUGAGAGGAGCUUGUGGAUGGAUCAAACUUCAAUCCUAGCCCAUGAUGGCUCAAGUUGAAGCUUGUUUUGAGGAUAGAAACCUUCUCUUAACCUCUAUUUGAAAUAUUUGCAUGAGAUUUGGGAUAAAACCUAGUUUUUAGAAAACUAGGAUUUAUUUUGGAGUUUUUCAAGUGUGAGCUUUUGGGAUGGAAUUGAUGAGUGUAGAACACUCUUAUAGGUUAGAUUUGAAGCUUCCUAGCCUCGAUUUGGGCUUUGAUCAAGUUCUUCUUGACCUAAGGGUACUAGAAACUUGGUGGACAACUUCGUUCGGAGGAACGAAAGCGUUCGGAUGUGAUCCGGUGGGUUUGACCUCACCGAAAUAGAGCCUUCCGCAGCGGGAAAGGCUAGGGAUCGUGGCAAGGGAGGCAACGACUAGUUAGAGCCUCACGAUGUGUGAAAGAUGAACCCGCAGAUUACUUAUUUGGCUUAGUUCAGUGGAAUCUAUUGUACUCUAUUUGAGAUCAUUCGGAUUAUGUUGUACUCUUGA